AUCGAUCAUUUGAAUCGCAUGAUUGAAAUGUAAAAGUGGGGAGUAAUCCUCACACUAUGAGAUGGGCCCGCGGCGCAUUAGCUAGUUGGUAAGGUAAUGGCUUACCAAGGCAACGAUGCGUAGCCGACCUGGAGAGGGUGAUCGGCCACACUGGAACUGAGACACGGUCCAGACUCCUACGGGAGGCAGCAGUAGGGAAUCAUCCGCAAGUGGGCGAAAGCCUGACGGUGCAACGCCGCGUGAACGAUGAAGGUUUUCGGAUCGUAAAGUUCUGUUAUGAGGGAAGAAACAAGUGCCGUUCGAAUAGGGCGGCACCUUGACGGUACCUCACGAGAAAGCCCCGGCUAACUACGUG
rnacentral:rRNA from 1 species